CUGCCCAUCAGAAGGGGAUAACACUUGGAAACAGGUGCUAAUACCGUAUAACACUAUUUUCCGCAUGGAAGAAAGUUGAAAGGCGCUUUUGCGUCACUGAUGGAUGGACCCGCGGUGCAUUAGCUAGUUGGUGAGGUAACGGCUCACCAAGGCCACGAUGCAUAGCCGACCUGAGAGGGUGAUCGGCCACACUGGGACUGAGACACGGCCCAGACUCCUACGGGAGGCAGCAGUAGGGAAUCUUCGGCAAUGGACGAAAGUCUGACCGAGCAACGCCGCGUGAGUGAAGAAGGUUUUCGGAUCGUAAAACUCUGUUGUUAGAGAAGAACAAGGAUGAGAGUAGAACGUUCAUCCCUUGACGGUAUCUAACCAGAAAGCCACGGCUAACUACGUGCCAGCAGCCGCGGUAAUACGUAGGUGGCAAGCGUUGUCCGGAUUUAUUGGGCGUAAAGCGAGCGCAGGCGGUUUCUUAAGUCUGAUGUGAAAGCCCCCGGCUCAACCGGGGAGGGUCAUUGGAAACUGGGAGACUUGAGUGCAGAAGAGGAGAGUGGAAUUCCAUGUGUAGCGGUGAAAUGCGUAGAUAUACGGAGGAACACCAGUGGCGAAGGCGGCUCUCUGGUCUGUAACUGACGCUGAGGCUCGAAAGCGUGGGGAGCGAACAGGAUUAGAUACCCUGGUAGUCCACGCCGUAAAC
rnacentral:rRNA from 1 species